rnacentral:lncRNA from 1 species
CAACGACUCUGAGCUCCCACCAAAGUCUGGAACACUGACUAUAGAGGAAGCCAACUGUCAACGUGAUCACAGCCAUCGUUCGAAUUCACCUUCCGGGGACAGCAGUUAGCUGAGAUCCAGGUGGAGCAGAGGGGCUGGAGCUGGGCCAGCAAGCACGACCUGGGAGCUGAGAAGGGGAUCUAAAGAGAGGGGGCAGACCUUCCAAAGACGGAUUUCACCUGACAUCUUACCAGGGCUUACCCCAUCCCAGGAACGCUUCAAGUCCACCCACACUCUGAGAACAAAAAGAUUGCGGCCGCAGGACUAUGAGGACUCACACCUGGACCUGAUCAGGAAAGCACACAUCACCCAGAGACCCCGGACCUGGAGCUUUGACAUCCAAGAAUAGGUGGCUUUGGACCAUCUCCCUUUGGGCAGACAAUGAGAAAGAAAGGUUUCUUUCCAUUGAGGUUGCCAGGUGGAGAGGAUGCUGGAUAUCUGGGACUUGAAUUGUGUGGGAAGAACAUGACUGGGAAUGAAGCCAGCAGAGAAAAGCAGGGCCAAAAUGGGAACACAACCUGAGCCCUAAGGUUGUCAUUUGAGACCCAGAAUUGAACUGUGAUCAAAGCCAG